rnacentral:rRNA from 1 species
UUUAAUUGAAGAGUUUGAUCAUGGCUCAGAUUGAACGCUGGCGGCAGGCUUAACACAUGCAAGUCGAGCGGUAGCAGGGAGAAAGCUUGCUUUCUCCGCUGACGAGCGGCGGACGGGUGAGUAAU